rnacentral:tRNA from 1 species
GGUGGCUCAGUGGUAGGGCGCUUGCCUUGCAUGCAAGAGGCCCUGGGUUCAAUUCCUCAGCACCA